CUAUUUCUUAAUUUUCACGAGUAUUUUGGCAUUUAGGUCCUCCGUAACCCCUCUAAUGGUCGUUGCGGCACAUAUUGUUUAUUCGCAGUUUCUUCCUCUAUCAAUAAACUUUACUUAGGUGUAUAAUUUGUUUACCUUUAUUAGGAGCUGACAAGUUGCAGCAGUCCAUUCCAUUAUUCAAAUUAAGCUAUUUCUCAAUGUUCACGCGUAGUUCGAUAUUUAAGUCCUUCGUUACUCCUCUA
rnacentral:lncRNA from 1 species